rnacentral:lncRNA from 1 species
CCCCCAUGCAUGGACGUGCUGUGAGCCUGGGAGCCAGGCUCUUGGUGCACUGUGUCAGGGGUGUGUAAAAUGAAACGUUUUUGAAUUAGACACACAGAUGGCCAUUCCAGAGCCCUCCUGUGCACAUGUCAUGUCGCGUUCAGUCACAGCGCUGUGGACAUCCCAGCUCAGAGACGGCAAGGAGCCCUGCAUGGGUUCGCCCGCAAUGGCGUGCUGGCUCGGUUGAGACUCAGAGGCUGGGAUGUCCAGAGGCGGCCCCACCACAUCCAUUGUGCCCUCUGUGGGCACAGUCUGUCAUAUGAGUGUGUUCAGAAGUCACUGGGCUGUGAGUCCAAGAUGGGACACCCCUGUGCCUCCACUCCCUUCUCAGACCCCACCUCUCCGUGGGACGGCCCCACAGAACUUGCAGAGCUGUUAAAGGCUGUUGCAGAGGGAGGUGGCACCCUGGGGGCCGCAGCAGCCCGGGGAGUGUGGCUUCUCCGCAGGUGUGGAGACUGGGCUCUAGGUGUUUCUGGGGCAACUCAAGCGGAGAUUCUGGAGCCGCUCACAUCUGCUGGAAUGCAGGCUUUUCGUUUGUAGAAACAGCAAGCGGCCAUGAGUGUGAUUAAUUGGGAAUUGGAGGUGAGUAGAGGGUUUCACGGUCUCCUAAACCAACCUGAGGAAACAGGUGGUCAUUGUUGGCAUUUAACUGUGAAUAUUUCCAAAGCCUGCCGUAGAUUGAAACUCACUGCCGUAGCUGUGCAGGGUGUGGACAUGAUGGGGAUGGGGGUUGGUUCAGUAGGGAGGCAGGGUCCCCGUUUUUACUAACAUCAGAUUUACAGGAUCAGCUCGACAAACAGACUGCUUUU